rnacentral:rRNA from 1 species
UGGGGAAUAUUGGACAAUGGGCGAAAGCCUGAUCCAGCCAUGCCGCGUGUGUGAAGAAGGCCUUUUGGUUGUAAAGCACUUUAAGCGAGGAGGAGGCUACUUGGAUUAAUACUCUAGGAUAGUGGACGUUACUCGCAGAAUAAGCACCGGCUAACUCUGUGCCAGCAGCCGCGGUAAUACAGAGGGUGCGAGCGUUAAUCGGAUUUACUGGGCGUAAAGCGUGAGUAGGCGGCUUCUUAAGUCGGAUGUGAAAUCCCUGAGCUUAACUUAGGAAUUGCAUUCGAUACUGGGAAGCUAGAGUAUGGGAGAGGAUGGUAGAAUUCCAGGUGUAGCGGUGAAAUGCGUAGAGAUCUGGAGGAAUACCGAUGGCGAAGGCAGCCAUCUGGCCUAAUACUGACGCUGAGGUACGAAAGCAUGGGGAGCAAACAGG